rnacentral:snRNA from 1 species
GUGUUUGUUUCGGCAGCUCAUAUACUAAAAUUGGAAUGAUACAGAGAAGAUUAGCAUGGCCCCCGAGCAAGGAUGACAUGCAAAUUUAUGAAGCGUUCCAUAUUUUU